rnacentral:rRNA from 1 species
GAUGAACGCUAGCGGGAGGCCUAACACAUGCAAGCCGAGCGGUAGAGUUUCUUCGGAAACUUGAGAGCGGCGCACGGGUGCGUAACACGUGUGCAACCUACCUUUAUCUGGGGGAUAGCCUUUCGAAAGGAAGUUAAUACCCCAUAAUAUAAUGAUUGGCAUCAAUUAUUAUUGAAAACUCCGGUGGAUAGAGAUGGGCACGCGCAAGAUUAGAUAGUUGGUGAGGUAACGGCUCACCAAGUCAAUGAUCUUUAGGGGUCCUGAGAGGGAGAUCCCCCACACUGGUACUGAGACACGGACCAGACUCCUACGGGAGGCAGCAGUGAGGAAUAUUGGACAAUGGGUGAGAGCCUGAUCCAGCCAUCCCGCGUGAAGGAUGACGGUCCUAUGGAUUGUAAACUUCUUUUGUACAGGGAUAAACCUACCCUCGUGAGGGUAGCUGAAGGUACUGUACGAAUAAGCACCGGCUAACUCCGUG